rnacentral:rRNA from 1 species
CCGGCCCCGGCCCACGAAUCCCGGCCCGGCUUCGUGGCGCCCGAGGCCUCCUCCUGCGGGGAGCCCUGCUGCGAGCUCAGCCGGUCGCCGUGGGACCUCAUGGACCAGCUCGACCUCUCGGAUCCCCAGGUGGAGAAGCUGUUCGAGGAGACUCACUUCCGAAGUGUCACCUGGCGAUCUAGCUGGCUAUUCCUACCCAGCAUGCCUGCAUUCGGCUCUAUCAAGGAGGACCAGGCGCAGGAGGACAUGUCCGAUGAGGUUGAACUGCACAUUGCUGCAAAAAAGACAGCCAGAGAGAAGAAUGAGCGCAAGCUGAAGAAAAAUAAGGGGGUGAAACUGAAGAAAGGAGUCUGGACGUGCAGGAAGAACGACGGCAAGGGUUGGUUCUGCCGGCGGCUCACGAGAGAGCCCAACUCAUACUGCUCGUACCACUCGGAUCAGAAGCUGAAGCCCCCCGGCAGCGAGAAGCCACAUAGGAAGAGAGCCCCGGUCAACGUCGGCGAGGAGUUCUACUACUAUGCGGGGUUCGGCCCCGGCACCAAGAGGUGCCGCACGUCAAGCAGCGACAGCACGUUGAAAGAGGAAGCACCACCCGAAAUGCAACUUAAUUUCAGUGCAGGUCAGGCACAAGCUGAUGGCUCAGACUAUCAAGCAGCGCUAGUAUCAGUAAGUGUAGUCAACAAGCCUACGCGCAACAACGGCACCGCUUGCAUCGCGGGCUGGGAUGAGGAGAGCAGCAACGACGACAUGCUUGGCCGCAAUGGCGAACAACCCCGCGACAUCACCAAGAGGAAGAGCCCGUUGAAGAAGAGGUGGAGAAAGCCUGUGAAAGCCCGGUCGCUCAAGUCACUAAUG